rnacentral:rRNA from 1 species
CACGCCGUAAACAAAUGUGCGUUAGGUGUGUCGGUAACCACGCGUUACUGAUGCGCCGAAGAGAAAUACGUGAAACGCACCACCUGGGAAGUACGGUCGCAAGGCUGAAACUUAAAGGAAUUGGCGGGGGGAGGCACCACAACAGGUGGAGCCUGCGGGUUUAAUUUGGAUUCAACGCCGGAAACUACAUCGGGAGCGACAGCAGUAUGAUUGCCAGGUUGAUGACCUUGCUUGACAAGCUGAGAGGAGGUGCAUGGCGUAGUCGUGU